rnacentral:misc_RNA from 1 species
GGAGGGAUCAUCAUAGAAAAACACAGCAUGCAUGCAUGUGUGUGUGUGGGGGGGGGAGAGAGGGAGUUUGGUUGGAGCUGUGUGGAGUGCCUAUCCGUACUCUGCACUUUUCCUCCUCUGCAUCUUUCUCUCUCCUUGACACACAUAUACAUGUAUGUAUGUAUCAAACAAACGAUCGCAACUACGUAAUAUCUUUUGGUGUGGAUAGAUAGAGGAAAAGAUUCUUUUCGCUCUCAUCCAAGGAAAAAAAGUGCUUGCCUGAUACUGAAAGAUGCCAUCGAGCAAUCGGUGGUGUUGAUGAAUUGGAACAAGAAAUACAACUUUCAACAACGGAUCUCUUGGCUCUCACAUCGAUGAAGAACAUAGCAAAGUGUGAAAAUUAAUGUGAAUUGCAGAAUUCAGUGAAUCAUUGAGUUUUUGAACGCAUCUUGCACUUUUUGGUUAUUCCAAAGAGUAUGCCUGGUUGAGCAAUGUGAACAUAUCUUAUCAGAGCCACAUUGUCAUCAUCUAUGGUGAUGAUGGCGGCUUUGGAGCUGAGUGUUCUACCUUGAGAGUUUUCCAAGUCUGAGAAAUUGGACAGCAGAAAACGCAAAAGGUUCACUUGAAAUGAAGGGAAAUCAGUAAAACACAGACAAGGAGCUUCUUGGCUGUGAAAGAAAAGAGACAGGCAGGCAGACAGAUUGAUUUGGACAGAGAACGGCUUGUUUUAACAACAAUGACUUGAUUAGUUGGUUGUGUCUUGGUGUUGGUUUGAUUUGAAUCAGGAAAAAGUCUUGUUUAGAGCCAUUCUCUGCUGCUGCUUUUUUGUCUUGCUUUUUUUCCAGCACAAAACAACAGGUUGCUAUCCAAACCUUGACUUUUGUCGUUUUCUUUCCUACAACUAGGAAUGUGCGGUAUAUACAAUAUACCCACCAAACCAUCAUUCUCAACUCAGGCAAGACUACCCGCUGAAUUUAAGCAUAUAAAUAAGCGGAGGAAAAGAAACUAACAAGGAUUCCCCUAGUAACGGCGAGUGAAGCGGGAAAAGCUCAAUUUUGAAAUCUACCAAGAGUAACAUUCUUGUCGAAUUGUAGUUUCAAGAAAGAGUGGCUGAGCGAAGUCAGUUGGAUGCAAGUUCUUUGGAAUGUGACAUCAGAGAGGGUGACAAUCCCGUUCACCAUCCUUCUGUGCUUCUCACGAAAAGCCCUCUUUUCAAAGAGUCGAGUUGUUUGGGAUUGCAGCUCAAAAUGGGUGGUAAAUUUCAUCUAAAGCUAAAUAUUGGUGAGAGACCGAUAGCGAACAAGUACCGUGAGGGAAAGAUGAAAAGCACUCUGAAGAGAGAGUGAAAAGUGCGUGAAAUUGUUGAAGGGAAACGCUUGAAACCAGUCAAGGUUCGCUUGGAAUCAGGAGAUUGGUAGUUUGGCAGAGUCAGCGAGGAGAUGGGUCUUUUUUGGCCGACUCGUCGUUGGUUUUCGCUGGACUGCCAGUUUCUGUACUUUCCUGGCAAACAAGUCAGCAUCAGUUUGAGGUUUGGGAAAAAGACAAUAGGACUUGGUUGGGUUUUGACGAGUUUCGGCUCUCAGAGGCUCAAGCCUGCUUGUCAUUGAUACCGAACGUUAGACUGAGGACUGCAGUACGGGGCAUCGUCCUGGAAUAGACUUGGCCUGUGAUGAUAUCCUUGGUAAACAGCUUGCUGAUUGCUAAGGAUGUUAUCCAGGAACUGUCCAAUCCAGGCAGGCUUCCGACUUUGGAUGCUGACGAAAUGGUUUUAAACGACCCGUCUUGAAACACGGACCAAGGAGUCUAACAUGGAUGCAAGUAUUUGGUGAUUGGAAACCCAUAUGCGCAAUGAAAGUAAUUUCUUUGAAGAUAGGACGUUUCCCGGAUUCAACCCCGGAAACAGCACUAUCGACCGAUGUUGACUAGCUUCGGCUUGAUAGAUUCGAGUAAGAGCAUGUAUGUUGGGACCCGAAAGAUGGUGAACUAUGCCUGAAUAGGGUGAAGUCAGACGAAAGUCUGAUGGAAGCUCGUAGCGAUUCUGACGUGCAAAAUCGAUCGUCAAAUUUGGGUAUAGGGGCGAAAGACUAAUCGAACCAUCUAGUAGCUGGUUCCUGC